AUUGUCGUUAAUCUGUAGGUUGAUCAGCCAAUCAAAUUGAAGAAUAGAUAUGAUUGAUGGGACACAUUAUCCCAUUAACAAAUGUAUGUUUUAGCGCGUUUUUAGAUGUUCACUUAUAGGUUAUUUUACCCUGAAAGGUAUCUUGGAAAUAUUUGUAGUCACAUUUCGGUUAAAAUCAGGUUGCAUCAAUUACUAUUAAACACAAUAGCAUGAAGUGCACAAGACAGUGUAUCAAUACUAGCGCAAGUGUUUUUGAAGAGGUUGCACUUGAGAUCUCAUCCUCCUUUUAGACACAGAGGACACGGCUGUUUGAGAUAUUUCGCAGUCAUGUCUGAAGAUGGCAGGGGCAUAGCCUGGAUAGAAAUCAUCAGACAGUAGUCUAACUGCGGCUGAACGUUGAGUUAUGGGCCAACACCACGAGUGAAUCGAAUUUUAAUAAUGUGAAGAACCUUUCCUCACUUGUUAAAGAACCUUGUGUGCAAUGGAAAGUUUCCAUGUAUGUUAAAAGUUCUUUAUGGAAUCACAGAUGCCAAUAAAG